ensembl:lncRNA
UAUGACAGGAUGGCAUCCAUUUCAACUGACCAGAAUACACAGCCGACCCCUCAACUGCUGUCAGUGGGAGAAAAGGAUAGGAAACGGCUGCUGGAGGUGUAUGUAAAGCGAAGUCUCAGCCUUAACGAUGGAUCACAAUGUCCUCUGAGACAGGAGCAAAGAUCACGCAAAUGGGUUGCCAUCAAAGAGCGCAAGACAAGAGAUCGCAAACAUUCCAGCGAUACAUCUCUGAAAUUGACUUUACAAGCCUCCAUCUCAGAUGAGGACAUUAGAUACGAGCCCCUCGCUGAACCGCAAAUGGAUAAAAAGGAGACAUCGUCUGAGAAGAAAUCCAAAAAGUGGAGAGGUAGAGGGAGUCUGCGGCGCGACGAUGGGUCUAAUGCAUCGCAAAAGUCCAACAGCAAACCCAAGAAGAAGUUUUUAAUUUUGGAUAAGGGCAAGGAGGAAGGUGGGCAAAGCAUUGAUUCUUUAUCCCCCCAAACAAGUACAGUUACUGCUGGAAAUAUGCAUUCAAAUGUGCAAGAAAAUCUGGAGACUUCUGUAACGGAAAGGAAGGACAAAGUAGGCAAGAAGACAAAGAAAUCCACUAUAUGGAAGAGUUUCUUGAGCUGGUUUUCCAAAGGAAAUGGUGAAAAGGAGCAAAAUCAUCAGAGAACCGAAGAACAGCUCCCUCUUUCCCAUCCCUCAACACCCCAAAUCUCUUGUUUGCCUUUAGCUGACCCCCCAUCAAAAGGCGAUAUCAACCUGCGCCGUUCAAAAUCGACAAAAAAGAAAUCGUUGCUCAGGAGAUCAUUAAAAUGGAGGCGAAGUGGAGAUAUGUCCACUGAAAAAUCAGCUGUUGAGAUAGUGGAACCCACUAACUCAUACUAUGAGAAAAUGUCAGAGGAACUGGAGAAAAUUGUGCAUGAAGUGAAAGACAGUCCAGCUGAUGACAAUGGCACUCAAAUAACAGACCAGAAGGGUGGAAAUGUCUCACAAGAAGUCUCACAAGAAGAGGUUAUCAGGAAAAUCAUACAAGUUGUAAAGCAGCAAGGAGACUUAAUAAAUAUCAAGCUGAAAGAGAGCAGCACCGUAACCACUUUUCUGAAUGGAAUCACCUAUAGAUCCUUCCAGCAAGUGGCUGAUCAAUACGUGCAGUCAGAAGUUCCCAAUAAGAAAACCCAGCCGCCUGUCGUGGCACCAGAGCUGGUGAAGUUCGCCUUCACUCUGGAUUUCACAGCCAGAGUGGCUAAUCUAAAUCGCCAAGCCACGGGCCAAAUCAUGGGCUUCGGGAACCAGUAUCUCCAAGAUCAUUUCACUCACAUGAGCGAGAGCCAUCCGCAUCUCUCUGACAUUAAAGCAGAGGAUCAGAAAACACAGAACUCUGAUCAAGAAUUCAUAAGCUUGUAGAAGCAUGAGCUUCUAGUUGACCUAUAGUUUUAUGGCUUGAUUUACCUUUGAAAUGUAGCAACACAAAACAAGCCAUUUAACGAUUUUGCACAAUAACACACACCAGAAAGAACUGGGUUGGUAAUAUCAUAAAACAUUCAUGUGAAAUGUUAUGUAGUUUUACAUCAUAAAAACCCUGAAUGAAGUAAGAGAAAUCUAAAAUGUGAUUUUAUUGUUUUUUGAUGUAAUUAUGAUGUAUUUGCACAACUGCAAUUAUUGUUUUAUUUACAUAAUGCAUUUUUUAUCUAUAUAUUAUAACUCAGAUUUAUAAGCUUUACUCACUAUAUAUAUAUUUAAGAUAUGUUGUAACUGUAUAUGCAGGCAUAUGCAGAAUGUUUACUAAUAAAUAUAAAAUAUAUUGAAUAAACA